AAAACAGUUAUUUUAUAUUAAAAAAAUGAUGCAACUAAUUACAUUAAUAUCUUCUAUAUAUAAAAAGUGCCUAUAAAAUAGAAUUUAUUGUUUUAACGGAAGUUCUCAAACAGAAGUUGUGGUUUUUUGUUAUUUUAACGGAAGUUGUGGUUUUUAACUAAAAUUAUUAACGGAGUUAAAUUUAAGAAAAAGUAUUGGGAGCAGCCCCUAUUUGGGAGCAGCCGACACACACCACACGUGGCAUGGGCGAAAUGACCAAAUUCUCCCCAAAUUCUUCCCAGGUUCCGCUCCCUCCCUCAGUAUUGGCAAACAUUUCAAUUUUGCCAAAUGUAGCUCGAGCAACUCUCUCCGUAGCCGGCGCUCCCUCCCUCGUUCCAUCCCCCUACCAUCACUCUCAACCCACUCUCCCCCUCGUCUUCUUCGAAGCAAAGCAACCACCGACCUCACCUCAACCCUCCCCACCACGACCUCCCGAGGAGAUUAGUCCCCAACCCCUGGGUCCCGAAGCCCUCUAUGACACGAUCUGGGUAACCAUGCUUUUCUUGUUGCUUUCCAUGUUUAAUGCUUUUUCUUUUUGCUUUCCUUGUUUCACUCCCUUGGAUUCCAGCUGUAGUGUUUCUGUGAGGGAAAAGUUGGUCGCUUUAUUGUCUGGGUAUCGAUGUUUGGGUCGGACCUGUUCAUAAGUUUGGGAGUCUGGGUUUUAGAGCAACUCGGUAGAAAGUCUUUUGAGUGGUUUUGGUAAGUUGGCUCAUCUCAGUUUAAGCUUAGCUUUUGCCUCGUAAGUUUAGUUUUAGAGUAGUUGAUGUAAAUGUUAGCUUCUGGGGGUUCUUUGUUUUGUGGACUUUGAGAUUACAGUUACUAAUUCCGGCUCAGCAAGGUUUUGGUUUGGGUUUGUGUCUCAGAACUGGCUUUUGUCUAAUUUAAGAGUUGACACUAUGAAGUUGUUCGUCUCGAAGGUCCCAUUUUGUGGGGCUUUGGCUUGUGGCAUAACACUGGCUUGUGGCAUAACACGAAUUUUGUGCUCCUUCCAGUGCAAGCUAGGUUUACCGGUUCACGUGAAAGAUCUUGUUUUAGGAAUUUGACUUCUAGGGUUGCGUGUUUUGCUGUUUUCAGGAACUGCAAAUGCUGAAAACAGUCAGAUAACAAGAAUCUUAGCUUUAUUACUCGCUAUCCAGGUUAUAAGUUGAAGCUCCUUCAUCACAUACGAUUUUACUUAUCAAAAAAUAAAAAUAAUAAAGCUCCUGAAUCACAUACUGAAAUUCUUAGGUUAGGCUUGAUAUUUGAAGGUUCUUACAUUGAUAUGUAAUUCAUGAUAAACUAUUACUUCAUUAAUAAAAUGCAAGCACAUAUGGCACUUGAUAUGUGUAAUUCUCAUAUAUCAUAAUGUUUCAUUUAUUUUGUCUAAUUUCUAACUAUUCUUUCAGAAUUUUUCUUGGACCUCUAUUAUGGUAGUUUAAUUCUCAUAUAUCAUAAGAAAUUCUGGGAUUUGUUUUUUUUAUCCUGUUAUUCAAUUGGCUCGAGUCGUAAACCUUCAUGCAGGUCCCUCCGCGCUAACGUAAUGAUGUAUUGAUGAUUUAAAACACUGGAAUGUAAGUUCCCAGUGUCUGCACUACAGGAAAAGAACCUCCAAAAAACCAGCAGAGUUUAGUGAAUCAAUAAUGUUAGCAUCUCAAUCAUCAUCUGUACUUAAUGAAUGGAUCAUGGAAUCUCCAACUUGUUGGUGUGGUUUGAAAACACCACUAAAGACAUCUCACACGUCGAAAAAUUCUGGAAUGAGAUUUUUCGCUUGCCCAAACUAUAAAACGGUAAAAGCAAUUUGAAUGGGAGAAGCAAGGUGUAAUUUUUUUGGAUGGGCCGAUAUACUUCAUUUGCUUGAGCAAAAUUUUCGUGCCCGUGAGAAUAAGGCGACAAGUAUUUCGUGGAAUGAUGUAUUAGAGCGUGAGUAUGCCGUUCGGAAAUGGGAAGAUAAAGUGAGAGAAAUAGCAAAGAAUCUGAAAAAGCAAAAGCGAAAACUUUUGUAUUUCUACUGGAUUCUGACAUUUGUAAUAGUGUUUAUUUGGUUCGGAUAAAUUCUAUGUAAAGUACGGUGUAUGAACUCUUUUGGGUUUUGCAUGGUUCUUUUGAAGUGCACAUGGUUUAUGGACCAAGACCAUGUAUGUAAAUUGAUUGGUGUUAACCUGACCAUGUAAAGAAGAACUUUUGUGCAAUUAAAUUGUCUUUGUAGACUUU